AUGUGUGGGCACAUGGAAACUAGAUGCGGAUUUUUCUUAGAAAUGCAAUUUACUGAUUUUUAUGUUGUCCCACUCUAGCUAAAAAUGAGUGAAUUCUGUUACCGUGUAGAAAAUAUUUAUAUUUUCCAUGAGACAGAUGCGAUCAGCUGACCAUGCAUUUUUGACAUCCAACAUCCAAUUUUGGAUAAAAAUAUCCCGAAAAUCAGGUAGUUUAGAUUUUCCGUGUACGCUCAAUUCCUCAGUUGGGUAAAAUAAAUGCAUAUUUGUGUACUUUAGUUUUUUCGUGUACUGUUUUGUGCGCGCACGACGUGACGGACGAGACGACAGGUUAUGAUUUUGCCUGUGUUUGGUUGGGUUGCGCGGUCAGCAUGGAAUUGUGGAGGCGCAGAUAAGAUCCGGACAUCAGGAAAAUGCUGGAUACGGUGCCACUUUGAUGCACCGGGAAAGGCAAAAGAAAAUCACCCGAGGACCGGAAGCUACGAGAAGCAAAGAGCUGCAACAUAAAUACGGCGAGGACAUCCGACAAUUGACGAAAAUGCUCUGGACUUACGCAAGUGAUGAGAUACACAUCACGAAAAACUCACAUACUACACACAACAGUAGGGGAACAAAACUCAUGUUCAGCUUAGUUCUUUCAUUUACAUCCUAACUAAAACGAAGCUAUUAAAGCCCGACUGAACGGUAGUAAAAGGGAAACCUUAAAAAUUCGACUCCAUAUUAUGGACUACAAAUCUGAUUGUUCUUUUGCUCACUUGCUGUGUAUAAUCAACUUAAGUUGCAGCUACGUCCGCUCAGUGGUAAUUGAUAUUUGCAUCUUCAAAAUCGAGAGGAGAAAGAUAGCAAAGAUAUCACGUUGUCAAGUAGAAUAACUAGUCACAGAAGUUCAAUGCCGCGACUGAUCGUGUGACUAACAUCUAGUUUGCCUCGCCCUUACAGCGUCAGCAGCGAUACUAGAAGUGUCAAGCUAAUUUUGUUUACCAAAACAAAAGGUACUCUACAUGAAGAACACUUAAAAAUAGUAAAUUAUUGCAAUUAAAGAUAUUAAAAUAAUUAAUUGAGAAAAGUGACUACAGCGUCAUUGGAGUUCUAGUGUAUUUCUAUUCGUCGUCACGAAUCACCUUAUCCGCUAUUUGUUUUGUUUCCUAUUUUGGUACAUUUUUUAGGAGUAUUUUAGUCGUACACCGAAAGAAAGAAAGCAAUCGAUACUGUAAUCGUCUGUUUUUGCAAUAGGAUGAUGAAGGGUACUCAUACCCUACAAGUGUAUGAGCGGUAAUGGUGGUGGCGGGCAUAUCCAACCGGUUCGGAUUUUGACGUUUCUUGAGGGAAAGUCAAAACAGUUUCAUUCUCCUCACCCCUGUAACCGCCGUUUGGUGGCGCCAACCGAUUGCGAUCCCCAAGAAACGUCAAAACUCGAACCGGUUAUUUGUGCCCACCGCCGCCAUUACUGCUCGUGGAUAUGUGGAUAGGAGGCCCGAUGCGACGGUGAAACGCCUCAUCAUAGUUAUCAAAGUAGGAAAUAUCGGAUGUUUGAGUAAAAUAAAACCUCGAUGCACUCGGUAAUGUUAUAAGGCAGUGGCAACUAUAUUGCCACCUACUGUCUGUAUUUUUAUCCGUGUUGUAACAAUUUAUUUCGAACUUUUUUUUGUUUACGCAAAAUUGGGGUUACCAACAACGCCUGGUAUAUUUUGGUGCUAAACAAAGAUUUAACAACAAUUUGGGAGCCAUUUGAAUUCUCAAAAAUGGCUAAAUUUGACCGCGUGAAGAAAAUAAGCUCAAACUUAUUAAAAAAAACUAGAUUUGGUUAAUAUUUUAAGAAAUAAUCAAAUUAAUGGGUUGACAAGCUGAACAACACAGUUUAUAUUAUGGGUUAAGCCCUAAUCCACUCUAAAAUCUCUUUUCCUCUUCUAUUUGUCGAAGUCAAAAGAAGAA